UGGGGUAUGAAAAGAUUGUGGGUUUUGGUAGAGAUUGCAGCGCGAUAGCGAUAAUACUGGAUUCCCAGUUAUUUGGUAUUUCCGGUUCAUGCAGCAGGAUCUCGGCAGUUCCCGGACAGUCACCUUUCUUCUCAACCUACAGUUGAAACAAGCGUCGGAUAAAAUGCCACUGGCUGGGGUAUUCCAGGUGGUUCACCCAUCGCUGAUGAAUGGAGCGCACGUCAUUGUACACUGUUGCAUCAACCGGAGGAUAGUACUUCUCCGCCGCUAGUAAAAACUUUUGGAGGAUCCCGGCAUCACCAUCAUCGGCUAGCAGCGUUAGAUGCCGGAUCGUAGUUGGAACCAUUCGCUUAUCUGACAUCCAUUCAUAACCUGCUGCCUUCCAUGGAAAUGCUAACAACCCACCGUAAACCAUAUAUGGCAAAGUCUGUGUACUGAUGGUCGCCGAUCACAGUAACGCUUCUGGUUGCGUCGGUUAUGGCCUUUUUCACGGCCCAGUAUGGAGCUGUCGAUGGUAACGUGUCGGCUGGAGCAACGCUGGGAUAGCAGCAGAUACCACAAUAUACAGACCCUGGAGUGAAUACUUA